GCCUAUGGUCUGGGCAGUAUUUCUUUCAUCAUCCUAGCCCAUCAUGUAGGCACAUUGCUUAAAAUGGUGCUGCUAUGGCUCGAUAACAAUGGCAACAUUAGAGGUUGAUGCUAAAAAAUCAAGAGUGGACAGUUCUUACUUUUUUACUCAAGCUGUUGGAAGCAUCUACCGUUAGUUUGAGGAAUUGCUCUACUUCAAGGCACACACAGACGUGAAAAUUAGGCCACUGAGUAAAGAUAAUCUUGUGUUCAAACCUUGGUGUGCAGUGCUUCUCUUCCUUCAGAAGGGUGUACGGAGCAAGUUUUCAGUGUCAUUGCUGGUGGAUCACAAUAACACAAGGAAAGAUGAGCAACACAAAUUUAUUUCUAAAAACUUAAAUAGUAUGUUGUUAUAUAGAAAACUUCAUCAUGCUGCAGUUCGUGACCAAAAGGUUUGCUGUAAUUUAUUAUGAAAUGUGAACCAAACUACCACUGUACCGAUAAACUGGUAGGAAAGACCAGAAGUUUGGUGCACUGCACAUCUGCCUUGAUUUUCCUCGUCAAAUUCUUGUAUAGGUGUAACUCCUAAAAACAUUUACGCUAACAUAGGCACUUGUAGCCAAUCCACAUUCAAGGUAGGCCAAGACUUCACUAUCCUGGCAUAAAUGCAAAGUCACCCAAGGACGCCUCAGCAAUUCUCACAUUCAACAGACUAGUUUCUAAGCGAUAUGCUGCAUGCAAUUCAGCAGCUAGGAGAAAGGAAAACAUUUUGAUGCGCUUUAGGAGUUACCUUCCACCAUAAAAGAAAUUAAACAAUUAACCUUCUUGCCCACCACACAAAAACGUCUUUACGCUCCUGACCUUCAGGGCUUCUUGUUUACACGACAAUAGGUCAUGUGGCGAAUGACGUGCUGUUUUUGUGAAAAGGAUGCAUUGCAGUGGACACAGGAAAAGGGACGCUCUCCUGUGUGGGUGCGCACAUGAUCCAUAAGAUGUGUUCUCUGAGUGAAAGCAGCUGGGCACAGGUUACACUGGAAGGGGCGCUCGCCCGUAUGCAUGCGAAGGUGUCUCUUCAAAUCUGCCUUUUUCUUGGUCACAUAGCUGCAGUGCUGGCAGGAAUGCAGUUCCACUUGUA